rnacentral:rRNA from 1 species
UACAGAGGUCUCAAGCGUUGUUCGGAUUCAUUGGGCGUAAAGGGUGCGUAGGUGGCGCCAUAAGUCGGGUGUGAAAUCUCGGGGCUUAACUCCGAAACUGCAUUCGAUACUGUGGUGCUUGAGGACUGGAGAGGAGACUGGAAUUCAUGGUGUAGCAGUGAAAUGCGCAGAUAUCAGGAGGAACACCGGUGGCGAAGGCGGAUCUCUGGGCCAUUACUGACGCUGAGGAGCGAAAGCGUGGGGAGCGAACAGG